UACGUAGGGGGCAAGCGUUGGUCCGGAAUCAUUGGGCGUAAAGAGCGUGUAGGCGGCCCGAUAAGUCCGCUGUGAAAGUCCAGGGCUCAACCCGAUGGACGUGCGUGAUGACUGGCGGCUUGAAUCCGGGAGAGGGAUGCGGAAUUCCAGGUGUAGCGGUGAAAUGCGUAGAUAUCUGGAGGAACACCGGUGGCGAAGGCGGCAUCCUGGACCGGCAUUGACGCUGAGGAGCGAAAGCCAGGGGAGCAAACGGG
rnacentral:rRNA from 1 species